UGUUCGAUCUGAUCUUCUCUUUUGAUGCAGGAGUUUUUGGUCGAAGGAUCUGAAAAUGUGCUUUGCUAGAGUUUCAAGGUAUGCCUUCGCAAAGUUUCCCUUGUUUUCUGCAUGGUCUCCGUCUUUAUUCCGUCUUCCUCCUUCGUAUGCCCUGCUCUCCGCUUCUGUUUCCGUUCCAAUUCGAUAAAUCCUCAUAAUAUUGAAGACGCUGUGUCUUCUUUCCAUGGCCUACUUCAUAGGCGCCCCCACCCUCUAUAGUCCAAAUCAAUCAGAUUUCCUACUGUUAUCUCCCUUUUCGCGCAAGCGGAAUCUAAGGGUUUCACGCCAUCUUUCGUUACACUGAGCAUCUUGAUUAACUGUUAUUGCCAUGUUCGUCGAAUGACCUUUGCUUUCUCUGUCUUAGGCAAGAUUUUUAAAAUCGGCUGUCAGCCAAAUACGAUUACUUUGAAUACACUAAUGAAGGGCCUUUGCAUCAACGAUGACGUUGAGAAGGCCUUAGAUUUUCUUGAUGAUCUGAUAGCAAGAGGAUUUCGGUUGGAUGGAAUUAGUUAUGGCACGUUAAUCAAUGAAUUAUGUGAGAAUCAGAAAACAAGAGCUGCGGUUAAAUUGCUCCAAAAGAUAGCGAGAGGACCAGAUAUCUCACAAUGUUGUGACCUACAACUCUGAUAUAUGGUAUGGCCAGAAGCUGCAAAAUUGUUUAAUGAAAUGAGGCUUAAAGGCAUCAACCCUGAUGUUCAUACUUUUAGUAUAUUGGUUGAUGCAUUUUGUAAGGAAGGAAGUGUCAACAACGCUAAAGCUAUUGUUGCUAUGAUGAUGAAGUAUCGUACAACGCCUAAAUGAGUACUAUAUGAUCAAUUAUGUUAGUGAGGCAAGAGAAUUUUGGCUCCUAAUAUUGUUAGUUGUAACAUUUUGAUUAAUUGGCUCUGUAAAAUCAAGAUGGUAGAUGAUGCCAUGGAUCUCUUUAAAGAAAUGAAGUGCAAAAGUUUGAUUACCAAUCUUGUUAGCUGUAACUCUCUUGUUGACAGUUUGUGCAAGGCAGGUAAAAUAUCAUAUGUGCAAGAUAUUGUUUAUGAGAUGCAUCAUGCUCCAGAUAUAAUAUUUUACAAUAUCUCGUUGGGUGAAUUGUGCAAAAGUCAUCAUCCUGAUGAGGCAAUUGCUUUAUUUAAGCGAAUGUUUGACCAAAGGAUUCAUCCUAAUACAUGCACAUAUACCAUAAUUUUGUAUGGUUUAUGCAAGGGUAAUAGAUUAAAUACCAUGUGGCAGAUUUUUCAGUAUCUUUUGGUUAAUGGCCAUCCUUUGAGUGUCCAUGCAUAUAAUGUAAUGAUUAAAGGACUUUGUAAAGAGGGUUUGUUUGAUGAAGUGAAGGAUUGCAUUAUAAAAUGAAAGAGAGUAGAUGCGCACCUACUUUUGUAACUUUUGAAACAAUCACUAGACCUCUUUUGGAAGAAGGUGAGAAUGACAAGGCAAAGAAUCUUUUGGAUGAAAUGCUUCACUAGAGGUCUCCUAAAGCGACAGAAGAAGUAUGAUUCAAGAGGAAAGGCUCUAUCGUGCUGGACAUGUCUUUUGGCUUUAGGAGUAUUUCAGUCAUGCAUAACAAAUGGCCAUAGAGAAAGUGUAGAAGUUGUUAUUCUUGCAGUCUUUUUGUUGAAUGCUUAGUAAAUUUCGGCUCCUUUGAUUACUCAAUAUUCAUAUUACGCUUUGCUGAAUCAUGUGGCGACUGUUACUAGAAGUUGGUGUCAUUUCUUUUGUUUUGGAUUUUGAUUUUGAUACCUGAAAAAUGAAAAUACCACUUACUAUUUAUUGUUCUAAUCAGCAAAGUCUGAAUCUUCGAUAGUAGUAUUGGUUUUUGGGAGUCUGUAGCAUUUAUUAGGUACCAAAUAAAAUUGUGAAAGAAUUUUUUUUCUUGUUAAUUUCUUGUUUAAGGAAUACUAUCAUGCGAAAAAUUUUCACUUUCCACUUACUAAUUCAUCGUUUGUGCAUGCUAUAAUGUUGAUAGUCUGCAAGGUAUCUUGAAGUCUUGAAAUUUUCUGUUUUUGUGAACUGGUGCUUUCAAAGCUCUGCAUUUUCCUUUUUCUUGUAUGACUCAUGGGGGUGAAAUGUGAAGUAAUUAUCUUCCUAUUUCUAAUCAAUAUGUGUAACUUACUCUUUGAUGCUCUCAUACAACUACACAAGGCUUACAAAACAAUUAAUGAGUGGCUGGCCACCUGACAUGAGUUAAACCUAAGGGUUUGGCUUGGGUUUUGGCUUUUUUCCUUCCAAAACCUAAAUGAUACUUGAACCACAGCUUUUAUAUUUUUAAAUUUAUUUUUUUCAUGGUUAGUAUUAGACCAUUAAUCUAUUAGUUUUUACCUUUUAAUUUUUGGUUUAACUAAAGCCCAACCCAAAAUGCUUCAGCAAUUCAAAAAUACACACUCAAUCCUUUUAAAUGCAUUUACUCGUGUUUAUUUAUUUAUAAUGAAAUCUGAAUCAUUUUAUUCUGGAUAUAAGAUUGUUCAUGGCCAUUCUUGAAUGGAAAUGUUGUGAAGGUGACCUGAAAGGGGAUGUUGUGAAUGCAUUUACUCUAGUGUUGUGACUUGAAACACACAUCAGACCUCUUUGUGAAAAAGGAGAGAAUGAUGGGGCAAAUAAUGUUGUUGACGAGAUAUUCACCGGAGGUCUCUUGAAAAGAUAAAAACAUCGGCCAUGAUUGCUGCCAACAUUACUGGGUUUAUAAAAGCAGUGGGAAUUAUAGCAUUGUGUGCCAGAGAUGAAGGAAAUGGUAAAAUGACUCUUGCAAGGCAUGUUUGUGUUGGGAGGA